UUAUUUGACUCGCUCAUUGGUAAAGUUCAGUUUAAAAAAUGUGGGUAUUAUAUAAAGUUCAGUUUAAAAAAAUUGUUGAAGUCAUGCUCUUGAUGAUUUGUGUUUCGAUCGUUGACAUCUCCCCAUGAUCUCAAGGUGAACUAAACAGGUUCGAGAAUGGGCCAUUAUGGAUUUUUCCUGUCAAUAUACGGAUCGAGUUCAUAUUAAAUUCUGGUAGCACAAGUUGUUCCAAUCAAUAUAUAUACAUUACAAGUCUACGUACAACAAUACCUACAGCGAGCGGGUGAUGAUCAAAAGAUUACAUUGCUAUUCGUCAUUAGGCUUAAAUAAAACCAUAACUGCAUGCAUAGAUUAUUAGCUAGGAGUCCGGAUUAUAGAAAACAAAUGACGAAUUUAUGAAACAGAAAAGAAAAACAUAUAUACUUAUUGGCCACUUUUAUGAGUUUACUAGCUAGAAAAAAUGGUUUAUAUAAUUAAACCAACUUUGACAGUGAUAAGAUAUUCAAGAUAAUGACAUGACAAGAAAAGGAUUGUAAGAUUACAUAUAUUUUCAUAGUUAUUAUUUGUCUAUCUCAUUUUACUAGCUCCAGUGGGAAGACCUUAGAAAAAAUUGUACGGAUAGGAUAAAUUUAGAGGGAAACGGUGUAAUAGGUAGUUUUGCCAAAGAAAUUUGUAAAAGUGGGAAGUCCGGUGUUGGUAACACCGAACUUACACAAAUCAUCAAAAGUCCGGCUACCGUUCUUCCUUACGUGGCUCCAUGUGGCUUUGAGAGAGGGGGUGAAACUGAAAGGCCGGUGGUGUCAUCACCGGACUUUGAUUUUUCCUUUCAACACCGGCGAUUGGAACACCGGCCUUCACUUUCUCUUCUUUCUUCUUUUCAAUGCUCGAUUUCAGACCUUGUAUUCAUGGUUAUUGAACAACAUAAGCCUUUGAGCCACCGAGUUUUAUUUUUCCUUACCAACAUAUAAGAUACAUGGUGCUCAUUUUUAUGAAAUGAAGACAACAGUGAAUUGUGAAGUAUAAAAAGGU